rnacentral:rRNA from 1 species
UACAGAGACUGCAAGCGUUAUUCGGAUUCACUGGGCGUAAAGGGUGCGCAGGCGGCCGAGGGUGUGAGGCGUGAAAGCCCGGGGCUUAACCCCGGAAUUGCACCUCAAACUACACGGCUAGAGCAUUGGAGAGGGUAGCAGAAUUCAUGGUGUAGCAGUGAAAUGCGUAGAUAUCAUGAGGAAUACCAGAGGCGAAGGCGGCUACCUGGACAAUUGCUGACGCUCAGGCACGAAAGCGUGGGGAGCAAAAGGG